rnacentral:misc_RNA from 2 species
AAUUCUCAACCCUCUCAGUUUUUGUGACCGAGUAGCGGAUUGGAUCAUGGGGGACAUGCUGGCCUCUUCUUGAAGUCAGCUCCCCUGAAAUGCAUUAGCGGAACUGUUUGCGGUCCCGUCACUGGUGUGAUAAUUAUCUACGCCGAAGACGAAAGGAUUGCUCUCUAUCUGUUCAGCUACUAACCAAGUCCCCCUCUGGGUGGACAACUUUUGAAA